rnacentral:rRNA from 1 species
GACGAACGCUGGCGGCGUGCUUAACACAUGCAAGUCGAACGGAAAGGCCCUGCUUUUGUGGGGUCCUCGAGUGGCGACCGGGUGAGUAACACGUGAGUACCCUGCCCCUGACUGUGGGAUAACUUCAUGACACUGGGGCUAUUACCGGAUAGGAGCUCUUGCUGCAUGGGGGGGGUUGGAAAGUUUCGGCGGUUGGUGAUGGAAUCGCGGCUCCUCGGCUUGUUGGUGGGGUAGUGGAAUACCAAGGCUUUGACGCGUAGCCGGGCUGGCAGGGUGACAGGCCACGUUGGGACGGGGCUGCGGCACAGACUCAUACGGGAGGCAGGAGUGGGGAAUAUUGCCCAAUGGGCGGAGGCAUGAUGCAGCAACGCCGCGUGGGGUAUGUCGGCCUGCGGGUUGUAUUCCGAUUUCGCCUGUGACGAAGCGUUAGUGACGGUAAUGGGUAAAGAAGCCCCGGCUAACUUCGUG